GUGUCAGCAGCCGCGGUAAUACAGAGCGUGCAAGCGUUAAUCGGAUUUACUGGGCGUAAAGCGUACGCAGGCGGUUUGUUAAGCGAGAUGUGAAAGGGCCGGGCUCAACCUGGGAACUACAUUUCGAACUGGCAAACUAGAGUGUGAUAGAGGGUGGUAGAAUUUCAGGUGUAGCGGUGAAAUGCGUAGAGAUCUGAAGGAAUACCGAUGGCGAAGGCAGCCACCUGGGUCAACACUGACGCUCAUGUACGAAAGCGUGGGGAGCAAACAGGAUUAGAUACCCCCGUAGUCC
rnacentral:rRNA from 1 species